UCACCAAAGCGCCUGGCUGACGAUGAACAACACCAUCAACCGGAGAACCUGAAGGUGAACCCGAGCCCUUUCCCUUAUCAUCACCCCCACCUGCGGACCACCAACUCGAAGUCCCUGAGGGGCUCUGAUUAUGAUUCUGAUUCUGAAAGGUGUGUGACUGCUGAUUCCCGAACAAUGAAUAGGGCGACGUGCUAGGGUUUGAAUUAGGUGGGGAAGACUUGUUGGGGCUUGUGGAAAAUAACUUAGACGGCGUUCGAGCGGGAGUCCUAGGGUUCGAAUUACGUUCGGGAGAGCCAACGGGAUAUUCUUGGAUCCCAGAUUCCGGAGAGAAAUCGGAUCGAUCUUCGAGCGUGAAGGCGGGUGGUGGUGGUAGAUCUGAGGUGGCGAAAUUUUCACGCCAUAGAGCCGAUACGGCGGCGGCUUGGCCAGGGGUUGUGAAUUUACCGGAUCCACUGCGACGGUUAGUGACAGGAGUGGCUAAAUCAUUGAAGAACAAGGAUUGCCUACCGGUUGAUUUCGGUGUCCUGUGAAUACUUGAGCUCAUUUCCGCCCCUUCGAUCGAUAAUGAUGGUCUAAUAAACACGGCAAUAGUUGGCAAUCACAGGGCGGCUGAAGCUACAAACCACCUGCUCUCCGGUGUUCAAAAACCCUAGACGUUGGUUCGUGGAGGAUUCAAAAGAAGGGUUUUGGGGUUGUUUGGCUUAAUUUUGAAGACGAUAAAUGUUAUUCGAUUAAAAUACAGUUCAAGGCCCAAAAAAUGAGGGGGAAUCGUCCAGGAAAAAGUCAAAAAAACCAUUGCCUUUGGCGCUUGGCUAAUUUUCGUUUUUUCUUUUUUUCACCAUUGGAAAUUUGGAAUAAUAAUAAAAAUUUAAAAGGCAAUAUACUUACAAAUUAAGAAAUCGACAGUUUGAGUUUGGGUUUUUCGAAAACCAGAAAUUUUAAAUUGGUUUCAGUUUUUGGAUAUGGUAAAAUUGGAAAAAAUCUAACCGAACCAACUGAAAAAAUAUUUUAAAAAAAUAUAUAUUAUGUAUAUAUCUACCCUAAUAAAUGAAAAUGUUAUUGUCACUUGUCAUUCUCUUAUUUAUUUGGUCACAUGUCAUUUUAUCAUAAUUUUAAAAUAUAUUUAUUUUCUACUUGUCAAUUACUUCAUUAUUCAUUUCCACUAUAUCAUUAAUUUAGUUUCCAUAAAUUAAACCUACUAUAAUAACUNUUGAGAAUUACGCCACAUUUUUCAAACUCCCGAAGCACUAAAUUUGUGUCUGCUGGAGAAAACCUGCAAAUUAAGAUUUCACCAUUGUUGAAUAUAAACAUCGAACUGACACUAUGAGCUUAUAGAUACUUGGGAGCUUUGAAUCAGCAGACAAUAACUAUAUGUGGAAGGAUGAAUAUAGAAAUAAGCUGAGAAAAUUACCCAUAAACAGUAACCCAUUCUUCCUCAUCAAUCGUACCCACAGGCAAAGAAUUCCUCUGAAGUUCCGGUCUAGCAACCUCCCUAGGCGGCGGCAGAAUCACCAAAGCGCCUGGCUGACGAUGAACAACACCAUCAACCGGAGAACCUGAAGGUGAACCCGAGCCCUUUCCCUUAUCAUCACCCCCACCUGCGGACCACCAACUCGAAGUCCCUGAGGGGCUCUGAUUAUGAUUCUGAUUCUGAAAGGUGUGUGACUGCUGAUUCCCGAACAAUGAAUAGGGCGACGUGCUAGGGUUUGAAUUAGGUGGGGAAGACUUGUUGGGGCUUGUGGAAAAUAACUUAGACGGCGUUCGAGCGGGAGUCCUAGGGUUCGAAUUACGUUCGGGAGAGCCAACGGGAUAUUCUUGGAUCCCAGAUUCCGGAGAGAAAUCGGAUCGAUCUUCGAGCGUGAAGGCGGGUGGUGGUGGUAGAUCUGAGGUGGCGAAAUUUUCACGCCAUAGAGCCGAUACGGCGGCGGCUUGGCCAGGGGUUGUGAAUUUACCGGAUCCACUGCGACGGUUAGUGACAGGAGUGGCUAAAUCAUUGAAGAACAAGGAUUGCCUACCGGUUGAUUUCGGUGUCCUGUGAAUACUUGAGCUCAUUUCCGCCCCUUCGAUCGAUAAUGAUGGUCUAAUAAACACGGCAAUAGUUGGCAAUCACAGGGCGGCUGAAGCUACAAACCACCUGCUCUCCGGUGUUCAAAAACCCUAGACGUUGGUUCGUGGAGGAUUCAAAAGAAGGGUUUUGGGGUUGUUUGGCUUAAUUUUGAAGACGAUAAAUGUUAUUCGAUUAAAAUACAGUUCAAGGCCCAAAAAAUGAGGGGGAAUCGUCCAGGAAAAAGUCAAAAAAACCAUUGCCUUUGGCGCUUGGCUAAUUUUCGUUUUUUCUUUUUUUC
rnacentral:lncRNA from 1 species